UACGAAGGGAGCUAGCGUUGUUCGGAAUCACGUGGCGUAAAGCGCACGUAGGCGGAUGUGUCAGUCAGGGGUGAAAUCCCGGAGCUCAACUUCGGAACUGCCUCUGAUACAGCACGUCUUGAGUCCGAGAGAGGUGGGUGGAAUUCCUAGUGUAGAGGUGAAAUUCGUAGAUAUUAGGAAGAACACCAGUGGCGAAGGCGGCCCACUGGCUCGGUACUGACGCUGAGGUGCGAAAGCGUGGGGAGCAAACAGG
rnacentral:rRNA from 1 species